CUGUCGGCAUGCUUACACAUGCAAGUCGAACGGGAAGCCCUUCUUCGGAGGGGUGGAGAGUGGCGCACGGGUGAGUAACGCGUGGGUAUCUGCCUUGUGGUACGGAACAACCCAGGGAAACUUGGGCUAAUACCGUAUACGCCCUCUGAUGUUAGCGCAUUGGGGGGGAAAGAUUUAUCGCCAUGGGAGGAGCCCGCGUCGGAUUAGCUAGUUGGUGGGGUAACGGCCCACCAAGGCAACGAUCCGUAGCUGGUCUGAGAGGAUGAUCAGCCACACUGGGACUGAGACACGGCCCAGACUCCUACGGGAGGCAGCAGUGGGGAAUAUUGGACAAUGGGCGCAAGCCUGAUCCAGCAAUGCCGCGUGGGUGAUGAAGGCCUUCGGGUUGUAAAGCCCUUUCGACGGGGAAGAUGAUGACGGUACCCGUAGAAGAAGCCCCGGCUAACUCCGUGCCAGCAGCCGCGGUAAUACGGA
rnacentral:rRNA from 1 species